UAAACAAUCGUUCAGAUCGUUAUUUGGAAUAUUUCGAGCCACGUGAUACGUAUUUAGUUAUUUAGCUGUCAAAUAUAUAAUUCGUACAAGUGCAAUUGUGUUUUUGGGGGUGAUUACGAUAAAUACGCUCAACGAGUAUCGGAUUUUUUUUGACGUUUUGUUAAAGUGCAAUGUAGUACCAUUAGUUUUGAUCGAUGGCGGUUGCAAGGAUAAGAAACUGCAAACAGUUAUAUCUAGAACUAGAGAAAAGGAAGUUUUCAACGAUGUUACGAGAAAGAAGAAUGUUCGUCAUGUGCAAUGCUUAUUCGAAGCUGAUAAUGCUAUAGCUACUGUAGCAAGGGUAUUGAAUUGUCCUGUAUUGAGUUAUGAUUCAGAUUUGUAUGUGUUUGGGACAUUGUACAUACCAUUUGAUACAUUGGACAAUUACACGGUGAAAAGUUCAACUGGAAAUAGUUACACAAAAUGUUGUAAAAUUUAUAAAGUUGAACACUUAUUAAAUUCUUAUAGAGGUUUAAGUCAAUCUACUAUGUAGAUCACCUAAAACCGAAUAUGCAGCUCGUGCCACAACACAUUCCAUAAACAGAAUUUUUAAAUUUGAUGGAGAUGUUAAUAGUCUAAUGUACAUGGAAGAAACUGAUAAAAAUGGAGACUUUGAAUCAUCCGAAGAAGAAGAAGAAGAGGAAGAAAACGAAGUUGAAAUAUUAGACAUGCUUAAAGGGGUCAGAAUCUGCUACCAAUAAUAAACUAGCUAAUGUACCUAAUUUGUUUGUAGAUGAAUAUCUUAUGGGCAAUUAUCCUGCAUAUUUUAUGGACUUGUUGGUUCGACGUUUAUACAUUUGUCCUGUACAAAUAGAGGAUUAUUCCUAUCCAUUGAGCAAUGUAAUAAGUUUAAAAAUUAUUAGAGUUAUAUAUGCAUUUCUGCAAUCAGGAACGAAUA